CAGGACGAACGCUGGCGGCGUGCUUCAUACAUGCAAGUCGAACGAGAAGCUGACUUCGGUCAGUGGAAAGUGGCGGACGGGUGAGUAAAAUGUAGAGAAUCUGCCCUUAGCGGGGGACAACAGUUGGAAACGACUGCUAAUACCCCAUAUGAGCGUAGCUGAGAUGCUAUUCUUGAAAACUCCGGUGCUAGAGGAUGAGUCUGCAUCUGAUUAGCUAGUAGGCGGUGUAAUGGACCACCUAGGCGACGAUCAGUAGCUGGUUUGAGAGGAUGAUCAGCCACAAUGGGACUGAGACACGGCCCAUACUCCUACGGGAGGCAGCAGUAGGGAAUUUUGCGCAAUGGGGGAAACCCUGACGCCAGCAACGCCGCGUGAUUGAAGAAGCCCUUCGGGGUGUAAAGAUCUGUCAGUGGGGACGAAACUUGACGGUACCCACAGAGGAAGCAUCGGCUAACUCCGUGCCAGCCGCGGC
rnacentral:rRNA from 1 species